GUCGUGGUCGACUAUAAAAGCCCGACUGUUCACUGUUUUCUUUAGUUACGAAAAGUUCUUCAACCAUGUUCAAGUACCUAAAGAUUUCCGUUGCCCUUGCCUUCUGGAUGUCCAGCUUUCUUGUAGCUGUCCGUGCACGAGAUGAAACAACUACUACUACAGAGGAACCAACUAUUUGAAGACGUAGGAGAAUUAAAAAACCAUUUAUUACUGACAAUGCUAACGAAAAGGCCAUGCGACUGCACCACCUAAAUCAAAAUUUGCACUGGUAUUAAGUUAACUACAAACAUAAAAUUUAAAGCACA